UGGCAAUUCAGUAAACAUUUUAGCAAUUUCUUCUUUCCUGCCUGCUGAAGACUGACUUCCUCCUGCUGCCAAAGUUCUAGAGUCUGGACGUCUGAGAUCAGGGUGCCAGCACUGUCGAGGUCACAGACUGCAGACCUCCUUGUAUCUUCAAAUGGAGGAAAGAGGACAAGAGAGCUCCUGUGGUCCCUUUUAUCAAGAUGAAUGCACAAGGAAAAUGUUGUACAUUUGCACAUUGGAGUACACUUCAGCCAUAAAAAGAAUGAGAUGCUGUCAUUUGCAACAACAGGGUUGAUCCCAAGAGCACUUCAGGAGGCUGAGGCAGGAGAAUGGUGUGAAUCCAGGAGGCAGAGCUUGCAGUGAAUGGAGAUGCGCCACUGCACUCCAGCCUGGGCGACAGAGCGAGACUCCACCUCAAAAAACAAAAACAAAAACAAAAACAAAGCCUAUGGAAUUUUGUUCAUUUUUGCAAUGAAUUUAUAAAUCUAUGAAGAGAUAACUGACUUCUUAACAUUAUUGAAUCUUAUAAUUUAUUAACAUGUUAUAUAUGUCUUCAUUCAGUUAGAUCACCAUUAGUUUCUCUCAACAAGAGUAUUUUAGUUUUCAGUUUAUAGGUCUUCAAUGUUUCACUAAAAUUUCCCUUAAAUGUGCUAUGCUUUUAGAUGCUAAAAUAUGUGGUAUUAAAAUGAUCAUAAGUAGGAUUUAGUUAAUUUGAAUUUCUAAUUUUUCAUUAGUAGCAUAUUAAAAUUAAAUUGACGUUUGCUUACUUAUGAUCUUACUAAAUUCACUUUUUAUUUCUAGUAACUUUUGGUAAGAUUAUUCAGAAUAUUCUGAAUAAGCAAACAUAUAUGUGAAUAUAGAACAUUUACUUCUUCUUUUUUAACGUGUAUGAGUGUUUUUUUCCCUCCCCUUAAAACAAUGGCUAGGACUCCUAGUAUAAUGUAGGAUAGAAGUCGUAAGAAUAGAAGUUUUUACAUUUUCUAUCACGACACCUUCAAAUUCAUUGAUCUUUUAUUUUGCUGUGUUUAAUUUACUUGUUAUUAUAACAUGCAUUUUUGGAAUUUCAAUUAUUGUAUUUUGUAACCCCAGUGUGUUAUACAAGGAUCACCUAUAUAUACAUGUGUGUUUAUAUAUAGUUUUGAGAUUCUUAUUUACUAAUUCCAUCAUCUCUAUCCUUUGUGGCUCUAUUGUUUAAGCUUCGUUUUGACUCUAUCCAGAGACUUAUAAUAUGAGAUCUCUUCGUUGCAGGUAGAGUGAUCAUGAUGCAUUUCCCAUCCUUUGUGAGAUCUUGAAAAACAAAUUCUAUUUUUACUAGCUUCAGAUAAUUUCCUCUCAUCCAUCCACAAAUCAAUAAUCAGCCAAACAUGUACACUCUCUUUCUCUCUACGUGCAACUUCUCUUCUCCCAUAUUAUGAAUUAUAAAUUCUUUCUGCCCUGACUUUCCCACGAUCUAAUCUUUAUUUCCCCUAUCCCAUGCUCUGUAGCCUGGAAAAUGACACCCAGUGAAUAAACAAUGACAUUGUUAGUGUCACAGGAUCCUCUGGGUGUCAGUUUGCUAGCCAGAAACCUCUGUGGCCAGUAACGCCUCUGCUUGAGUUUUAGUUGUGCCUGCUGGUCUUAUUCUGCCUACUUGGCAUGGCAGGCUGCGGUUGGAUUGUGCUACCAGCCUGAAUCCCACACCUGCCGAGGGCAAGCCAGGCGGGGAGUGGUGAGGUAUGUGGGAAUGAGUGAGUCCAGGGUCCAGCCACUUUGCACAGCUAGGUGCCCUGGCUGCUGCAGCAAAGCAGGCAGCUCCAGGAGCCAGCACAGGCCCUGGCUUCUUGCAAGGCUGUGGCUACACCGGGCAUACUGUAAGCAGCUCUCACUGCAGGCACCAGGGUCUGGACAAGGAGAACACAGUGGCACGUGAAAACUUGAAGAUGCCAGCAACUGCAGAGGCACAAGGUGUAGGGCAGUGUGCUACAGCUCUCUCAUUCUUGCCGCCCACAGCUUGGCAAAUGGGUGGUGGGUGCGUUUGAGCUCAUUUAGUCCCACCCUUUCGACCCAGCCUGCAGCCCCUGGGCUGGCCCAGCUCCACUGCAACUUCCCUCAUAUGGGGCAGCUGCCUGAUGCCGGCAGAGGGAGGGAGGGCUGUAGUGUUACAGCUAGGGCUCAGGGAAUCCAGAGGUCUGGGACCCCAGAAGAGUCACCGUUCUUCACUCCUGCCAUCCAGCAAACAGAAGUGUGUCACUGCCCGCAGCUUGGUGAGCAGGCCAGGAACAUGUUACAAGCCUUUUUGAUCCUGCCCACAGCUUGGCAAGCCAGCCAGGAACAUGUUACAGCCCUUUUCAUACCCACUGUUCAGCAAGUCCUGAGUUCUUGUACUGUGUCCAGGAAGAAUGAGGUUACAUGGACAACAGGAGGGGCUGAGCAACAGUGGGGAGCAAAGAGAAAAGUUUUAUUGAGGAACAGAACAGUGUUCAGAGGAAAGGAGACCUGAUAUGGGUAGCUCCUACCUGCAGGCAGGUAGUUCUGAGUGUGGCUGAGUCUUUGGUUUUUAUGGGCAAGAAUGGAGGACAUGCAUGCUGAUUGAUCCAUAGAUGGGCCUGGAAAAAGCACCAUUUGAUGACUGAAAGGCAUCAAGCAAGUUCUCACACCAGGUCAUGGAUUCUACCCAGAACUGGCAGCCUGGUUUUCAGACUUCAGACUGUCUUUGUUUCAAAGGUCAGGUUUCACUGGAGACCCACCCCUAUCUUCCUAGGAAUUUUUCUGGCUCCUGCUGUUAUCACUAGGACUUACCUCAUUUAUUGUGCGUCUUUAUCAGGCAACAAAUCCUCUGCUGCCUGUUGUUCAAUAUCUGAAAACUGUUGUUCAUCUGCAUGUGUCCUGUUUCUUAUUGUACACAGCUGGAGGAAAAGACUAACAGAUGUCAAUAUUCUAUUAGGAGAAUUAGAAAUCAUAAAAAGGGCUGGGCGUGGUGGUUCACACCUGUAAUCCCAGCCCUUUGGGAGGCUGAGGCAGGCAGAACAUGAGGUCAGGAGUUGGAGACCAGCCUGGCCAACAUGGUGAAACCCUGUUUCUACUAAAGGUGCAAAAAUUAGCCGAGCGUGGUGGUGCACUCCUGUAAUCCCAGCUACUUGGGAGGCUAAGGCAGGAGAAUCGCUUGAACUUAGGAGGCAGAGGUUGCAGUGAGCUGAGAUCGUGCCAUUGCACUCCAGCCUGGGCAACAGGGUGAGACUCUGUCUCAAAAAAAAAAAAAAAAAAAAGAAAUCAUAAAAAGAUUAGACUUAUUGAUUCAUUGUGCUUAGUUUUAAAAGCAGCUUUGAAUUGCUAUAAUAUUAAAGUUUAUAUAAGUAUUUAUCAUUUUGUCAAAAACAUUUUUAUACCAGAUGAGUAACACAAAAUUAUCAAAAAUCAAGUACAGGCUCAGAGUGUACUGCCUGUCCUCUGUCAUUCUUUCCACCCCAUAUUGGGCUUUAAUUUAAAGCAGACAAUUGCAUAUGCACAUAUUGUGCUGAUAUGCCAAUGAUUUUCAAGGGAAUUACCAAUUUCAAAUGUUGGGAGUCUGAAUUUCAGAUAUUGUUUUCAUACCUUUUGGAUUGAUUCAUUGUAAUCAUAAAGGCAUAUAAACAUCUUCACAUCUACACAUGUUAAUAUAGACUGUUUCAUAUCUUCCUAUGUUUUAUAUGGCUGUUUGGAUUUCUGGUUAAAUUUAUAUAGAUUUUCAGUAAUUUUUGAUUCACAAAAUAAAAAUGUAAUUAUUA
rnacentral:lncRNA from 1 species